UACGGAGGGUGCAAGCGUUAUCCGGAUUCACUGGGUUUAAAGGGAGCGUAGGAGGGCAGGUAAGUCAGUGGUGAAAUCUUCGAGCUUAACUCGGAAACUGCCGUUGAUACUAUCUGUCUUGAAUACCGUGGAGAUGAGCGGAAUAUGUCAUGUAGCGGUGAAAUGCUUAGAUAUGACAUAGAACACCAAUUGCGAAGGCAGCUCGAUACACGAAUAUUGACUCUGAGGCUCGAAAGCGUGGGGAUCAAACAGG
rnacentral:rRNA from 1 species